AAAAAAAAGGGGGAUGAAUUAGGCAGGCAUCCAAGCAGUAGCAAAUACAACAUUAUGUCCUUUCCAAGUAAGCACAAGGUCUUCUUCUUCCUUCUUUAAUCCCCACCCAGCUGCAUGCUCGCCAAGCAUAGUCUUAACUUCAGAAACUGCAUCUUCACAGAAAGAAAUGCUUCGAAAAUUUGCAUUUCUCAUCCUCUGAACCCACCUGUUCUUGGGUUCUAACCUCUCAACCCUCUGAAGACCCUCAUGAGCAAUAACAUUCUCAAUCUUCCAGCAUAUAUCAGCUUCAUACCACUGCCUUUGCUUGCUUCCUCUUGGAAGAAAUGUGUCCACAGUAUCAUAAGGAAUCCAUAGAUAAUUGAAAGCUGACCUUAAUCUACACACCAAAUUAUUUGAUGUUAAAUCAACAUCUUCAUCUACUAAGACAACAAUUGUUGGGUCUAAGCUUCUAAGGGAUUUCAGAAACAUGGUUCGAAGGGAAGACAUGGAAGAGCAAGAAGAAGACUCGAAAGAGUAAGGAUUUGAUGAGUUCGUACUAGUAAUAACACCAAAAAGGGUUUCUUCAGGAAUGUAAUGAAGCAACAUCUGACAAUUUAUGACAAGAGCCUCACCACUUUCUGCGUACACCAUAUUCUGCACCCUCAGAUGCUCGAUUAAGGAAGAGAAUCCAUCGGUGUAACUCGAUGGAACGACUCUAAAUUCCAUUAUUACGUUGCGUGACCUUGCGAAGUUUAUCAACUUUGAGCCCAACUCUUCAUAAGAAAGAUCAAGCAUCGGUGGUAUAUCUUCAGUGGCACCAGCAACUGUGAGCUUUAUCAAUGGGGUUACCUCGAAGCGAUUCGCUAUAGCAUCGAUAAGAGUAGGGAUUUGCAUGCAAUGAGUCAUGCUUAAAUCCACAAUAUGAACAGACGAAUACCCUUCAAUGGCUUCUAAUAUAGCAGCAUUAGCAGCAGUGAAACCGAAGCGAUGCCAUGGGGUUAGGUCCACAAACCCAGCAAGCUCAAUGACAGAGAAUUUAUGGGUAUCUAUAGCGAGAGUGCAGUGAGCAUUAGCCAUUGCAGCGAGGAGUUUGCAAGUACCGCUCUUGGCUGCACGUGCAAUGAGGGCUCUAAGGAAAGCACAUGUUAAGCGCUGAUUUGAGUCACCAUCUGGGGGUGCAAUGUUGUUUAGGACCCAAAGGAUCUGUUGAGCUAAAGUGGCAUCAUUGCUUUCAAUUGCGUUUGCACAGUGGACCAAAAGCUGCUCCAUGCAAUUCGCAUCACCAAAGCUGCCUAAGGCCUUUGAUGUAGGAAAUCCAGGCCAGGGACGAGUCCUUUGGGUUUGGUUCUUGUUCAUGUUGGGGUUUGAGAAUGGAGCAGUGAUUUGGUGCAAGGGUGGUGGUGGGGUUUCAGUGAAUUGCAUCAUGGACAAAGAGGAAAAAAGAGAGAGAGAGAGAGCAACAUGUGUCCAACGGCAAUUGCAGGAGGAGAUGGAAUAGCUGCAGCAUAUAGGGAAGAGGAAAUGAUGAAUAAGGAAGAGGAGUGCAAAGUUUGUUGAAGUUAGAAAAGUUUCUGCACAGGAGUCUAUCCUGGGGGUUGAAGAGCCAACCAUUUAUCUUCUAUCAUAUUUCUUUCUUUUAUUUUUCUUUGAUAUUAAGAAAGGAGUUGUAUUCAUUCUUGAUUGUACUGAGUUGUUGUGUAAAUACUCUUGUUGAGAAUUAAUACAAACUACUGCAGUUUCCUCUAAAAA
rnacentral:misc_RNA from 1 species